UCUUGGCCUGCUGAUUUUCUAGGGGGAGCUUGCUGAUGACGGUUUUCCUGAUGCGAACGAGGCUGUCUCUGGGAAUGGCUGCUGCUUUCAACAGGGGAGCUCUGAUGUUUACCAAACCACAGAUUAUGUCUGCAUAAAACAUCCUGCUUUGUUCCUGAGCCCUGAGGAGUUCAUUUAACGCCCCCACCCCGCAGUCCAGCGGACAGUGCUUGGUCCUGGUGUACGUUUCCCGUGUGAAGACUGCGGCACGCUUUCAGAAGCAUAGUGCGCCAUCAUCCUCCAUUGUCACCCUGCUGUCCUUGCCACACCAGGCAACAGAGAGAGCAGCCAGAAUGUGAAGC